rnacentral:rRNA from 1 species
UGGGGAAUUUUGGACAAUGGGCGCAAGCCUGAUCCAGCCAUGCCGCGUGUGUGAAGAAGGCCUUCGGGUUGUAAAGCACUUUCGGACGGAACGAAAUCGCGCGCGUUAAUAGCGCGCGUGGAUGACGGUACCGUAAGAAGAAGCACCGGCUAACUACGUGCCAGCAGCCGCGGUAAUACGUAGGGUGCGAGCGUUAAUCGGAAUUACUGGGCGUAAAGUGUGCGCAGGCGGCGUCGCAAGUCGAGUGUGAAAGCCCCGGGCUUAACCUGGGAAUUGCGCUCGAAACUACGAUGCUGGAGUGUGGCAGAGGAAGGUGGAAUUCCACGUGUAGCGGUGAAAUGCGUAGAGAUGUGGAGGAACACCGAUGGCGAAGGCAGCCUUCUGGGCCAACACUGACGCUCAUGCACGAAAGCGUGGGGAGCAAACAGG